rnacentral:rRNA from 1 species
GAGUUUGAUCCUGGCUCAGGACGAACGCUGGCGGCGCGCCUAACACAUGCAAGUCGAACGAGAGAUGAGGAGCUUGCUCUUCAAAUCGAGUGGCGAACGGGUGAGUAACGCGUGAGGAACCUGCCUCAAAGAGGGGGACAACAGUUGGAAACGACUGCUAAUACCGCAUAAGCCCACAGCUCGGCAUCGAGCAGAGGGAAAAGGAGUGAUCCGCUUUGAGAUGGCCUCGCGUCCGAUUAGCUAGUUGGUGAGGUAACGGCCCACCAAGGCGACGAUCGGUAGCCGGACUGAGAGGUUGAACGGCCACAUUGGGACUGAGACACGGCCCAGACUCCUACGGGAGGCAGCAGUGGGGAAUAUUGCACAAUGGGGGAAACCCUGAUGCAGCGACGCCGCGUGGAGGAAGAAGGUCUUCGGAUUGUAAACUCCUGUUGUUGAGGAAGAUAAUGACGGUACUCAACAAGGAAGUGACGGCUAACUACGUGCCAGCAGCCGCGGUAAAACGUAGGUCACAAGCGUUGUCCGGAAUUACUGGGUGUAAAGGGAGCGCAGGCGGGAGAACAAGUUGGAGGUGAAAUCCAUGGGCUCAACCCAUGAACUGCUUUCAAAACUGUUUUUCUUGAGUAGUGCAGAGGUAGGCGGAAUUCCCGGUGUAGCGGUGGAAUGCGUAGAUAUCGGGAGGAACACCAGUGGCGAAGGCGGCCUACUGGGCACCAACUGACGCUGAGGCUCGAAAGUGUGGGUAGCAACAGGAUUAGAUACCCUGGUAGUCCACACCGUAAACGAUGAUACUAGGUGUUGGAGGAUUGACCCCUUCAGUGCCGCAGUUAACACAAUAAGUAAUCCACCUGGGGAGUACGACCGCAAGGUUGAAACUCAAAGGAAUUGACGGGGGCCCGCACAAGCAGUGGAGUAUGUGGUUUAAUUCGACGCAACGCGAAGAACCUUACCAAGUCUUGACAUCCCUUGACGAACAUAGAAAUAUGUUUUCCCUUCGGAGCAAGGAGACAGGUGGUGCAUGGUUGUCGUCAGCUCGUGUCGUGAGAUGUUGGGUUAAGUCCCGCAACGAGCGCAACCCUUAUGGUCAGUUACUACGCAGGAGGACUCUGGCCAGACUGCCGUAGACAAAACGGAGGAAGGUGGGGAUGACGUCAAAUCAUCAUGCCCUUUAUGACUUGGGCUACACACGUACUACAAUGGCGUUAAACAAAGAGAAGCAAGACCGCGAGGUGGAGCAAAACUCAGAAACCACCUCCCAGUUCGGACUGCAGGCUGCAACUCGCCUGCACGAAGUCGGAAUUGCUAGUAAUCGUGGAUCAGCAUGCCACGGUGAAUACGUUCCCGGGCCUUGUACACACCGCCCGUC